UACGAAGGGGGCGAGCGUUGUUCGGAUUUACUGGGCGUAAAGGGCGCGUAGGCGGCCCUCCUAGUCGCGUGUGAAAGCCCCGGGCUCAACCUGGGAAUUGCGCGCGAAACGGGGGGGCUCGAGCACUGUAGAGGCAGAUGGAAUUCCGGGUGUAGCGGUGGAAUGCGUAGAGAUCCGGAAGAACACCGGUGGCGAAGGCGGCGACCUGGUCCUUUUACUGACGCUGAGGCGCGAAAGCGUGGGGAGCAAACAGG
rnacentral:rRNA from 1 species